CCAUCAUCCAACGGCCUCUUCUGGGGCAAAGCCACCACCGCCGUAGGCGGAGUCGAAGUGGGAGUCCUCCUGUAGGUAGUUACAGGCAGAGCCACCGGAGGAGACGGAGAAGCUUGUUUCUUAGCGGUAAAAUUAGAUCCGAUCAAGUUAUCUAAGCUCUCGAAGAAAGGCCACGACGAUGUUAGCGUUCCGUUAGAGGACGUAACCUUAGCCUUCUCGAUCUUGUACUUCUUCUUAAUCGUGUCGAUACGGUUCUUACACUGCACAUCCGUACGGUG
rnacentral:misc_RNA from 1 species